CAAGUCCAUUGCGAUGAAGGCGUAGCGAGCCACAUCGGCCCCGAGCCGUGCGCAGGCAUCCGCGAGGGUGUGUGCGAAGCGUCGGUAGGGGAGCAUACAGGCCAGCCAUUGAGCCGCGUAAGAAUGUUAUCCCGGGUGCCGACGCCGUCAACUGUGCGGAAGGCGACACGGGCGGGUGCGCAAUCGCGAGCAUCCGUCUGGCCCGGCGUGGUCGCAGACCC
rnacentral:ncRNA from 1 species